UUGUGUCCUGGUGAUUCUCAUCACCUAGCCUGCGCCCUGGCCUCAACCCCCGUGGCCCUGGGAGAUGGUGCCAUCCAGUCAUAUCUGAAACCUCUUUGUCAGGCCUGUGGUUUUAUUUUUUCUAAUAACGUAGCAACAUCAAACAAAGGAAGUCACGCUUGUCCUUUGCCUCAACAAGGUAAAUAGUCCUUGCCCCAGCCCAGGUGCCUCCGUUGUAGAACAUACACAGGUGGGGAAAGGGGCUUGCAGGGGCCUCGGGUUUACAGGGAUGAAGAGGCAGGGCCUGAGUCUGAGAACAAUAAAAAUCAGGCCUGGCACUUGGUGCGGAGCAGUGACCAGGGACAGGACUUGACCUGGGGAAGGAACAGGGCUCCAAUAGGUGCCUUCUGAAGCCUGCAGGCCAGGAGGCCAACUGCAUAGGCUGGCGAGAAGGACCCAGGACCCACCCCCCGUGGCUUUCCCUUUUAGGUCUGAGUCUCUCCGUGUGCACAAGGAGGGUUGCCUUGGCUCAGUGCUUUCCAAAGUGCUGAGGGAUUCCAGGGGCACCCACGGAGGUCCCCCGGGGCUUGCGGACAGGGGUGGGCGAGUGAGCAGGAGUUAGGUCUCCCCUCUGCACUGACCUGAGCUGCCUCAUCUUUACAUUUUACUUUUAUUUAAAGACUGUAAGCCAAAGCCAGUGUGAAGCCUCCUGAACUAGCUGAUCUCCACAUCCAUGCCAGCGCCUUAUGACCCACCGUUCUACACUGGUGGGGGGGGCUGGUGUUAGCGCUACUGGGGCCCUGGGACAGAGUUGACAGUGAACUUUAGCAGAGGAGGAGGCACCUUUUUCGUGUGAUUAGGGAAUCUGGAUUCUUUCGCUGGCCCCAGCACCGGAUGUGUACCCCAAAGAGGCUAACUCCUUGGAACUGAAGCCCAUGUGCCCACAGGAUGCAGGAGUUUGAAAGGGGCACCCCACCCUAACGGGCACAGUCUCAUCACACUGAAUUUCUGGGUUGGGCAAACCGCUAGUUGACCCAGUAUUCAGCCAUCAAGAAACAGAGAAGCUACUUCCUUGAAAUCAGUGCUACCUUGAGUCUCACACAGUGAUGGACACAUAGCAGGACUUUAAAAUGCUUGCUCCGCAACACAAAGACAAUGACUGAAUGACCCCACUUCCAUGAGCUGAAGGGAGUUCCUGGGAAAGAUGAAUGCCAUUGGAAGCGGAAAUUCUUGCCAGUAAGAAAAAAACCUGCCCCAUCCACACGCUUGCCCCACCCAAGCAGCUAUUCCAGCUUCAAAGGACUAAGCAACUGGCCCAGCCCCUCCUGCUCCAAGCUGCCCCAGGGCCAGUCCAGGGAAUGCUGGGCCAGGCCUUGCUGAGAGGCCUGUUCCCUUCAUUUCCUCUCCCGGGAGAAGGGGCUGCAUUUACAGCAGCUGUGCCCAGAGCCGCCCUUGCUGAUUUAGAUCAGGGAUGACAAGGCAGGCCGGGAAAACCUUGAUACUCAGAUUCUUCAAGUAGGGAGGCCUUGCAGCAGGAGGGACUGAGGAAGCUGGGGGAGCCCUGGCAACCACAUGCCGGAGAGGAGGGUCGGCAGAAGCAGAGGGUCUGGCACAGGUCCUGCAGCUUGAUAAAGGGCAGAGCUCGGAAGUGAAUGCAUCUCUGACUGGCAGCAACAUCUCAGUCUGCACUGGCCACAUGCUGAAUGCCGAAUAGUCACAUGUGGCACAUGGCCUGUAGAUUGGACAGCACACAUCUAUAUGGUAGGGUUCAGUCUCAGGUGGACCCAUGCCUGAGGGCUUUGUUACCAAAGUGGAAGAAUAAAAAUGAUGAGAUAGCCAUCCUCUUGUGGCCUGUCUUCCUUCUCAUUCAUGCAGCGCCUCCGUGUAGAAGUCGAGCCUUUUCUGUGACUUACUGCU